UUCUGUAGGUAGUGCCGACUGUUGCUCGUUUGCAUUUUCGGCAUUACUCGCCUGUUCACUGCCUAAUGGCCUAGGAACUGUUCGAUUACAGAGAUGCAUUCCAUCAUUAUUAUUUUCAACGAUAUCUCUCUGAGCUCCAAUUUUUUUAAAAAUAUAGAAAAAAUUGAAAACUUUUACCUAAAUAUCCCACCGAGCAUCCCAAAAUUAUUUGCGGGAACCGAAUUAUUCUGAAACAGGUUGACCGAAUCAAUUGUUGACUAAAUCAAA
rnacentral:lncRNA from 1 species